AUGAUUUCAGCACUCAGCAUCGCUGCUCUCCUGCUGAGAUGUGAGGAGCGAUUUGGAGAAAGGCGUGUAGAGAGAUUGAGAUGUGGAGAGGCGGCCAUUGGUGAAGAGAGCAAUGGAGUGGGUGAUAAGAGGAAGAAAAUAAACAAGAGUGCAGAGAAGAACGAAGACAAAGAACUCUUUCUUUUUAAUGAAUCUGACGCUGUUUCAUCGGCUCUGGUGCCAAAGGGGGGUCCAAGGACCUGGUAGUCUGGAUCUGUACGGAGGUCUCAUCCUGAAGGGUAUGUGUGGAGCGACAAGAUGGCGUCUCAUGUGUUUAUGAAACUCCGAUCAUAGCUUAAGAGCAAAAAAUCACUUCAUCACUCAGACUUGCUUCUCCGGAUACGAGAGUUCUGAUGACAUCACUCACACAUACACCAUUCAUCUCACGUCUCAUCNCAGGGGCGGCGUUAGGCCCGGCUACUUGGGCUGAAGCCCCGGAUGUUUCAUGGAAAGCCCCGGAUCUAAAUCGCGGAAGUAACAUGCAGUACCAAAGUCCAACAGAGAGGGAGCAGCUGGCAGUAGUUUGUAUACAGCCUGCCUGAGCCUCCACCACUGAAGAAGAAGCCCUUCAGCAGCCGGCUUCUUCUGCAGUCUCUGCCUGAAACACAUGAGUGAAGAUGGACAUAAGGACGUUUUUUAGACAAAAAGUACAACGACAGAACCCCAGCUUUGAUGAGACUGGUGUUGACUCAGGUUUGUGGGUCUUAUUUGAAAAGAUUUGUUGUGCUGUUGGUUUGCCUAAAGUUAGCUUACUAUCAGGUAAAGUUGUUGGAGAAAGAAAGGGAAUAUUUACUAUCAUCUCACACUAAACACUAACAGGAACAAUACUCUGCCCUGAAUAUGCUUAAUAUGUAGCUUCAGAUUAAAAAGUAUGUGGUACAAGACAAAUAUAUAGGAUGUUGACUAGUGUGUGUGCGUGUGUGUGUGUGUGCGUGUGUGUGUGUGCGUGCGCGCGCGUGUGCGUGUGUUAAGCCCCGGAUGUUCUUCAGUCCUUAAUCCGCCCCUGAUGACACCAUCACUCACACAUACACCAUCCAUCUCACGUCUCAUUCACACCAAGAUCCAUUCAUCAUUUAGAAUUUAGUUAGUCUUGUUUAAAAUUGUUUACAAACAUAUUUUCUUAAAUGUUUUAAAGGUGACUCUCUCUUCUCUUGUCUCUCAGUGAAUAUGAAGUGUUACAUAAUCCCUGCAAUAAAAAGUUCCAAUCUUCUGGUUAAAAGUACCCAAAGAUCCAUAAGAUUGAUUUCAUUUUAACUAUGGAAUCUCAUGUCUUAUGGCUCAUUAAAUAAAUGUAAAUUAAACCCUUUACAUGAGACACACAGUGGUGUUUGAGAAGUGAAACAAAGUUUAUAGGAUGUAAAGGAAGUGUGCAACCUUUUCUUUAACUAAAUUAGGCAGGUGCAUAAAUUUGGGCACCGUUUACCAUAACUGAGCAAAUAAAAGUAUGUGACUUAAGUGCCCAUGUUUAUGAGUUCAUGGACAUCUCACACUCCAGGACAACGUGGAACUGUUCAGUUUUUACUCUAUUGUGACUGACUCAUGGUGAUAAAAGGAUCUGGUAUGGCCCCUGUCAGGGGCGGACUGGGACAAUAAUUCAGGCCGGUAAUUUUGAAACCAUCCCAGGCCACUGCCCAAUUCACGCUAAACACUAAAAGUGAGUCAGGUUGGGCGCCUAAUGAUGUAGAAGUGUAAAACAACUAAAUUAAAACUUCACAUGUGCCCUGAUUCUUACAUCUAGAAUAUAAAUAUUUGUGUUCUGCUGCUAUAAUCUGUGCUUAUGUUGCAUAAACUGAAAUUCUAUUUUAUUCUGUUAAACGUGCCUCCUGCACAUUAGAUGAUAUAGGCCAGACACCACCAUCCACCUGAACUUAAGACUAACAGGUACCACACUACAUGUCUGGGUCAAGAGAAUCACACCACAAGCAGAGACAUAAAAAGUGUGUGUGUGUGUGUGUGUGUGUGUGUGUGUGUG
rnacentral:lncRNA from 1 species